CCUUUGAUAGCUCAGUUGGUAGAGCGGAGGACUGUAGAAGAAACAUAUGACUAACAUCCUUAGGUUGCUGGCUCGAAGGA
rnacentral:tRNA from 1 species